GCCCGUGUAGUUUACCGGAUCAGAAUGCGAGGUUGCGGACCUUGCGGUCGGGGUUCAAUUCCCCGCACGGGCA
rnacentral:tRNA from 1 species